rnacentral:tRNA from 1 species
GCGGGCUACCGGAGUAGCUCCCGGCCUUGGUAAUCCCUUGAUCAGGGGUCGUUGGUUCGAGCCCAACAGCCCGCA